UGUGGGAGCGAGCCUGCUCGCGAAUGCGUCAGGUCAGUUGAAUGAUGCUGGCUGACACACCGCUAUCGCGAGCAGGCUCGCUCCCACA
rnacentral:misc_RNA from 1 species